AUUGAACGCUGGCGGCAUGCCUUACACAUGCAAGUCGAACGGUAACGGGCCUUCGGGUGCCGACGAGUGGCGAACGGGUGAGUAACAUAUCGGAACGUACCUUUCAGUGGGGGAUAACGUAGCGAAAGUUACGCUAAUACCGCAUAUUCUGUGCGCAGGAAAGCAGGGGACCUUCGGGCCUUGCGCUGAUUGAGCGGCCGAUACCAGAUUAGCUAGUUGGUGAGGUAAAGGCUCACCAAGGCGACGAGCUGUAGCGGGUCUGAGAGGAUGAUCCGCCACACUGGAACUGAGACACGGUCCAGACUCCUACGGGAGGCAGCAGUGGGGAAUUUUGGACAAUGGGGGCAACCCUGAUCCAGCCAUGCCGCGUGAGUGAAGAAGGCCUUCGGGUUGUAAAGCUCUUUCGGCCGGGAAGAAAUCGUAUGGGCUAAUACCCUGUGCGGAUGACGGUACCGGCAUAAGAAGCACCGGCUAACUACGUGCCAGCAGCCGCCGCGGUAA
rnacentral:rRNA from 1 species